rnacentral:rRNA from 1 species
AUACGGAGGGUGCAAGCGUUAUUCGUAAUCACAGGGCGUAAAGGACGCGUAGGCGGGUUGGCAAGUCAGAUGUGAAAUCCUACAGCUUAACUGUAGAACUGCAUUUGAAACUGCUAACCUAGAGUAUGGGAGGGGGAGAUGGAAUUAGUGGUGUAGGGGUAAAAUCCGUAGAUAUCACUAGGAAUACCGAAAGCGAAGGCGAUCUCCUGGAACAUAACUGACGCUAAGGCGUGAAAGCGUGGGGAGCAAACAGGAUUAGAAACCCGAGUAGUCC